rnacentral:lncRNA from 1 species
AGGACUCUUUUUUUUACAACUGCAUCAGAAAUACUUCCAGCACAUCCUAUACCUUUGAAAUCAACUCCAUAGCAUCAUUCAAUGACCCUACUGUGACCUCUUUGCAAGGAGAGCAGCAGGUCUUCCCAGAACCUCAGGAGAUGCAGGAAGCACAGAUCAGCCAGCCCAAACACCAGCCACCCGGGACAGAUGCUGGGGAGAGAGUCUGUGCUGUGAUGAUCGUAGCUGAAAAAUCCUACAGCUUCGUCCUUAGGGGACUUGCAUGGAGCUCACUGGAAGUAAAAUGGGCUAAUGGCUGAGCAGAAUGACACCUUUCCCAGGUCGUCUAUCAUGCUAACUGAUACGAGAGAUGAGUCUCCACAAGAAAUGAUAAUAGAUGACAGAGGGUCUCUGAAUGGGCUCUGUCC